UGUUGCGGUGAAUACGUUCCCGGGUCCUGUACACACCGCCCGUCAAACCAUGAAAGUGACCAACACCCGAAGUCCGAUUCGUCGGCCUAAGGUGGGGGGCAUGAUUGGGGUU
rnacentral:rRNA from 1 species